UACGUAGGCGGCAAGCGUUGUCCGGAUUUACUGGGCGUAAAGGAUGCGUAGGCGGAUGUUUAAGUGAGAUGUGAGAUACCCGAGCUCAACUUGGGUGCUGCAUUUCAAACUGGAUAUCUAGAGUGCAGGAGAGGAAAGCGGAAUUCCUAGUGUAGCGGUGAAAUGCGUAGAGAUUAGGAAGAACACCAGUGGCGAAGGCGGCUUUCUGGACUGUAACUGACGCUGAGGCAUGAAAGCGUGGGGAGCAAACAGG
rnacentral:rRNA from 1 species